CGCUAUCAUCCUACGGGAGGCAGCAUGGGGAAUAUUGCACAAUGGGGGAAACCCUGAUGCAGCCAUGCCGCGUGUGUGAAGAAGGCCUUCGGGUUGUAAAGCACUUUCAGUAGGGAGGAAGGUAGUGUAGUUAACACCUGCAUUAUUUGACGUUACCUACAGAAGAAGCACCGGCUAACUCCGUGCCAGCAGCCGCGGUAAUACGGAGGGUGCGAGCGUUAAUCGGAAUUACUGGGCGUAAAGCGCAUGCAGGCGGCCUGUUAAGUCAGAUGUGAAAGCCCGGGGCUUAACCUCGGAAUUGCAUUUGAAACUGGCAGGCUAGAGUCUUGUAGAGGGGGUAGAAUUUCAGGUGUAGCGGUGAAAUGCGUAGAGAUCUGAAGGAAUACCAGUGGCGAAGGCGGCCCCCUGGACAAAGACUGACGCUCAGAUGCGAAAGCGUGGGGAGCAAACAGGAUUAGAUACCCUGGUAG
rnacentral:rRNA from 1 species